rnacentral:rRNA from 1 species
UACGUAGGGGGCUAGCGUUGUCCGGAAUCAUUGGGCGUAAAGAGCGUGUAGGCGGCUUUACAGGUCCGUUGUGAAAACUCGAGGCUCAACCUCGAGACGCCGGUGGAAACCGUAAAGCUAGAGUCCGGAAGAGGAGAGUGGAAUUCCUGGUGUAGCGGUGAAAUGCGCAGAUAUCAGGAAGAACACCCGUGGCGAAGGCGGCUCUCUGGGAACGGCAACUGACGCUGAGACGCGAAAGCGUGGGG